GUAACUGUCUACUGCUACAAGGUAUUGAGAGUGUACUGGAUGUAACAGUCUACUGCUACAAGGUAUUGAGAGUGUACUGGAUGUAACAGUCUACUGCUACAAGGUAUUGAGAGUGUACUGGAUGUACCAGUCUACUGCUACAAGGUAUUGAGAGUGUACUGGAUGUAA